rnacentral:lncRNA from 1 species
UCCUUACAUUGUUGAAAACCACCCCACCAAAAAAACCAUUUUGCUUAUAAACAUUGAUAUUUAUUAGAAAUUAAAAUGGAGAAAUUUCAUGAUGUUGUUUCUCCAGUUUGUUGCAAUAUCACCUUUCCGGUAGCCUCCGGAAAUCUCCAUUCUGCAUUCAUGUGCUCAUGAGAAUGAAAUCAACAAAUAACACCUUAGUAUCCAUAUAGAGAUAUUUUGGCUUGUGUGGACCUCCUACAAGGGUCAUGGGAGCCCCGAGAGUUUGUGGACCUCACUUUGAGAAUCACUGUUCUACAUAAUUCCUGUGGCUGUUUUUAACACCAUGGGCUUCUGUCUUCCUCCUACCUUCCUGGCUCCUGCUUCUUGUUAGGUUUCCAAGGGAAGGUGAGGGUUAAAGACACACAUAGAGCGAGAGGGCGGCUCAACAGCAAAUGCAGGUAUUUAUGUCCAGGUAAACCUGCCGAGGUGGAGGACCAGCUUAAUGCCAGUGCCCACCACUGCUUACAGGCUGGGAUACUUGUAGGUAUGGCAGGGAGGGGUCUGGGCAGUAUGGCGUGCUGCCAGGGAAGAUGUUGAGAAGACGUUCCCACAAUGAGGCAGUUGGGGCCUUGUUCCCACAGAAUGUAAUAAUGAUGUUCCUUGGACUUUUUCUCAGCAGAAUGUGUUAAAGUCAGGCGGUUGGGCAGGCAGGUUCUCAUGGCCCGAACCCUCGUGGAAUGUUUCACUUUGACCAAGGUCUGCAUAUUGGCAGGGAGCUUACAAAAUGGUGCAUUUUGGAUUAACAGGUCUCAGUCUUGGGCUCCUCGUUGUCUGACAGAUCCUAAAUCUUGGCCCCUGCUGUUCCAGGUUCUCUUCUCAUCAUGCAUGUUCUCUGGGUAAUUUCAUUCACUCCUAAGGCUUAAAACAUCAUCUCUCUGCUGAAGGCUUCUAAAUCUCUUUCCCUAGCUCGGAGCCCUUUUCUGAGAUUCAGAUCCAUGUGUAGUUUGAUCUGGUGGGCACUGGUACUUUUGUAUUCCACAGGUAUCUUUGGCAACUAUCUACUUCUUUCUAUCUUCAGGGCUAUUCUUUCAGGGUCAUUCUAGCAGUCCCUAGCAGAGUUUACUGUCCUUGUCCCCGCCUGCUUUUGGUCCAUUCUCCAUCAUUGUAGAGAGAUAUAUUUAAUCAAAUCUUCUCAUUCAUGAUUAGGUCAUGUCAGUGCCUUUCCAUUAGUCUUUGGAUAAAGGCUAAGCAUUUUAAAAUGCUUAAUGGCUUUUUGUGAUAUGACUCUUACCUAAAACUCUCCAGCUUGUGUUUUGCAGUUUGUCCCUUCUCUUGAACUUCAUCUUUCAGUCACACUGAACUUUCAGGCUCUCCUAAUGGCUAUGUGUUCUCAUCCUCUGGGCAUUUACCUCUGCUGUUCCAGGAAAUGGUCUUCAACAUCUUCAGAUACCUAGAAGGUUUGCCCCUCAGUGGGAAGAAAGCUUCCAACUCCCAGCGGUUCCAGCAGAAGUCCUGGGGCUGGAGAGCUGUUCCUGAGUUGCCUGUGAUCACAUACCACACCUGAUGGCAUCACUGUAUCCAGGCUCCAGGUGCAUAGAAUGUUGUGAGGUCAUGACUGCCAGCAUUAUGACCAGUCUUGGAACUAGGAUUGGGGUGGGGUUCAUCCCACCCAGACCACAGAGACUGAAAAUAAGAAAGGGGUGAGGCCUAAGGGACAAUCAGGAUGUUUUUCAGAGAGAAGUGUGGAUGCUGGACAGGAAGAACCACAGAUACCAGAUACGGAAAAGGAAGAAUCAACACUUUCAGAGAUGGAGCCUGUUGAGCCACAGUACCAACUAGUCAAUGCUGAAUCGACUUCUCCCUUUCUACAUUGCCUGAGAGAAGUCAUUGGGGAAUACUCUGUACACGAAUUUUCACUGUUGGGGAAAACAGAGAGUCAAGGGAUUGGAUUGUGGAUUGCAUUGGUGGUUUUCCUCAGUUUCCUCAUCUUCUCCACAAGUUUCUACAUAUCGAAUGCAGAGCAGCCCUUCUUCAAAGGACCUCCUACGGAAGCUGCUAAGGAACUCAGUCUGUAGCUCUGCGUGGAGCCAUGUGUAAACACUGAACUGAGACCUGCCACCUCCUACUACCUAAGGGCCCAUUUUCAUCUGAUAUCAUCCCCCAGAAACAAACUCAUGAUGACUUCCAUGUUUUUUUUAGAUUAGAUACAUGGAGAAUUUUCCUUUCCCUUAGAAUUAAAAUCCUGCAUUCUAAUUUUCAAGUGAUGUUCCCAGGAGAAAUGAUAAUGCAGCAAUGGACAAGAACAGGAACAAGAGACAGUCUUACCAUCUUCUUACAAUUUAUAGAUGGGACAGUGGAAAGAGAAGCCACAUCGGGGUUGGGCAUGCAGAGACCUGGUCCUAAAUCUGUGUGACUUUUGCGAAAUCCUUUUGCCUCACAGAGCUCUAGGUUCUUAUCUGUCAAACAGGAACCAGACCAUCAGAUCCGUAGAGAUCCAACCAAUGAAGGAGACUUCGAAAACUUCACAUUGCCGUGUCAAUGUGAGGUUGCUGGAUGGUUAUGACAAGAAAUCACAUUAAAUUCACUGGGGUAACAUUGUUCAUGAAACGGGAUAAUGUGUUUCAGCGAUGAACCACCCAUGGCCUUACUACAGACAUAUUUCCACUUUGAAAAUGUGUGUGAGUGUACAUGUCUGUGUGUGAGGCAGAGAUUAGAAAGUGGUAAAACUUUUUCGUCUCUACAGAACUCUCUCCAAGUGCACACCCAUAGAUUGGUUUGCUUGUGGAAUCCUAGCAUAUCAGAAAUGAAGGAAUCUCAGAAAUUGUUUUCAUCAAACACCUCAUAUGCAGAAGGCAAAAUGAAGGUUCAGAGCAGAAAUGAUUUGUCCAAGGAUGCAACACUCAUCUGCAGCAGAGGGAAGCUGAGCUCUGCAGACCCACCUAGCACUGCAGAGGCAGCCCUCUAGGACAAGGCUUCAUAAAAAAGUGACUUUAUGAGUUGGCUCCAUAAAAAAGAUACAGAU